rnacentral:tRNA from 1 species
UCCCAUGUGGUCUAGUGGUUAAGAUCUGGCGCUCUUACCACCAUGGCCCGGGUUCGAUUCCCGCCAUGGGAA